AUACUCACUUCAACAGCACAUAUACUGAUACUGGAAUGAUAGAGAGAAGGUUAGCCCAACUCCUGUGCAAGAAUGACACACAAAGUUGUGAGGUGUUUCAUGUUUUU
ensembl:snRNA U6 U6 spliceosomal RNA